rnacentral:rRNA from 1 species
AGAGUUUGAUCCUGGCUCAGGAUGAACGCUAGCGACAGGCUUAACACAUGCAAGUCGAGGGGCAGCAUAAAAGUAGCAAUACAACUGGUGGCGACCGGCGCGCGGGUGAGUAACGCGUAUGCAACCUACCUAUCAGAGGGGAAUAACCCGGCGAAAGUCGGACUAAUACCGCAUAAAACAGGGGCACCGCAUGGUGAUAUUUGUUAAAGAAAUUCGCUGAUAGAUGGGCAUGCGUUCCAUUAGGUAGUUGGUGAGGUAACGGCUCACCAAGCCGACGAUGGAUAGGGGAACUGAGAGGUUGGUCCCCCACACUGGUACUGAGACACGGACCAGACUCCUACGGGAGGCAGCAGUGAGGAAUAUUGGUCAAUGGGCGGGAGCCUGAACCAGCCAAGUCGCGUGAAGGAAGAAGGAUCUAUGGUUCGUAAACUUCUUUUGCAGGGGAAUAAAGUGCGGGACGUGUCCUGUUUUGUAUGUACCCUGAGAAUAAGGAUCGGCUAACUCCGUGCCAGCAGCCGCGGUAAUACGGAGGAUCCGAGCGUUAUCCGGAUUUAUUGGGUUUAAAGGGUGCGUAGGUGGUUUGAUAAGUCAGCGGUGAAAGUUUGCAGCUUACUGUAAAAUGCCGUUGAAACUGUCGGACUUGAGUGUAAUGAGGUAGGCGGAAUGSKUGUGUAGCGUGAAAUGCAUAGAUWUCACGCAGA